AGAGUUUGAUCAUGGCUCAGGAUGAACGCUAGCUACAGGCUUAACACAUGCAAGUCGAGGGGCAGCAUGGUCUUAGCUUGCUAAGGCCGAUGGCGACCGGCGCACGGGUGAGUAACGCGUAUCCAACCUGCCUUACACUCUUGGACAGCCUUCUGAAAAGGAGAUUAAUACAAGAUGUUAUCAUGAGUAAGCAUUUUCGCAUGAUUAAAGGUUUACCGGUGUAAGAUGGGGAUGNGUUCCCCAUUAGAUAGUAGGCGGGGUAACGGCCACCUAGUCUUCGAUGGAUAGGGGUUCUGAGAGGAAGGUCCCCACAUUGGAACUGAGACACGGUCCAAACUCCUACGGAGGCA
rnacentral:rRNA from 1 species